rnacentral:other from 1 species
UGUCCCCUGCGGUGUUGGUGUUUGGCCAUAUACUCUUCGAACCAAUAUCGUACACCUAGGUUGCCGGGCCAAUGACGAUGCCGGUGUGCGCGUCCUUCGUCGGAAGCGCCUAAUGGAUCGGGCAGGUGACCGCCUUGAACCUUAGGUUCAAGAUGAGGGCCACACCUCUCUGGCGGGGGACUC